UACGAAGGGGGCUAGCGUUACUCGGAUUGACUGGGCGUAAAGAGCGCGCAGGCGGUCGUUCAAGUCGAGUGUGAAAGCCCCCGGCUCAACUGGGGAGGGUCACUCGAUACUGAUCGACUCGAAGGCAGAAGAGGGAAGCGGAAUUCCCGGUGUAGUGGUGAAAUGCGUAGAUAUCGGGAGGAACACCUGUGGCGAAGGCGGCCAUCUGGACGACGAUUGACGCUGAGACGCGAAAGCGUGGGUAGCAAACAGG
rnacentral:rRNA from 1 species